rnacentral:lncRNA from 1 species
GAAAAAAGCAGCCAGGCGCAUAGAAAAGAUAGAUGAACUCAAUAUUACCAGCCUUGAGCCUGUGUCCCUGAAUGAAUGACAGAAGGUCCAGGCCAGCCCAGGUGUCCCACAAUGCCUACCUAGGACCUACCUUCAUAUUCAGGACUCAUACAUAAUCUUCUUAGCCACGGCUUCUUCUGACCUUCCUGUAACCCCCAAGAACUCUCCACUUCAGAGCAUGACACUAGGAUCAUGGAAAUGAUGCACCUGCAGUUGGAUUCUCUUGACACAAAAGGGGUCUGAGUUGGAGAGAACAACAGGCAGAGUGGAAGAUGGUGAUCAGGCUAGGAAAAAGCUUUUCAGUGAGACGUCUCUGCGAGGAGACCAGGAACAACUGAACUGAAAGUCGCUGAGCUCUGUACCUUAAGGGCGUCUGAGCUGCUUGCAGUGGGUCCCCGAGGUUGCUGCUCAGCAUAUGACGGGUAUCAGGCUCCAUGAAUCUCAUGACCAAGGGAUGAACACAUGAAACUUGUAGAGACGUUGGCUGGUACCUGUGAGCAUUCAGGGCUCUCCCCACCCGGUAACUGACCAUCACCUUCCUCACUGGCCCCAGCUUCUCCAUGGGCACUAUUGCACAAGGACGCGCUCACCAGCAAAUGCCGGUCCUUCCGGUCCCCACAGGUGAGACUCAGGCCACCCUGCUCCGACCCGCCACGGGGUACACGGACUUUAAUGGAGUGACCGGCCUGGGGGGUCCUCAAAUGCAUAAGACCCUGGCACAAGCUGGAUGAGGGAUUUUUUUUAAAAAACUGGAAUGGCUAUGGUUUGCAUAACCAGAACUUCCAAAUUACUUAGCAAAACAAGUUUGCUUUUUAAUUAACAUGUGUUUUAAAAAAUGGUUUUAAUUAAAGUGGAUGGAGGAGAGAAGGAGUGAUGGAGAGAAAAUUCCUCACAGUUCCAAGUCUCAGUCCAGACUUUUUAAAAAAAAAUAAUGUGGGGGGCUGGCCUCGGUGGCCCAAGCUGAAGAUCCCAGCACUCAAGAUGCAGAGGUAGGAGGACCAAGGGUUCAAAGCUGGGCUGAAGAGACCUCUCAGCAGUUAGCAGCACUGGCUGCUCUUCCAGAGGUCCUGAGUUUAAUUCCCAGCAACCACAUGGUGGUUCACAACCAUCUGUAAUGGAGUCUGAUGUCCUCAUCUGGCACAUGGGUGUGCCUGCAGAUAGAACACUUAUAUACAUUAAAUAAAUAAAUAAAUCUUU